rnacentral:rRNA from 1 species
GAUGAACGCUAGCGGCAGGCUUAACACAUGCAAGUCGAGGGGUAGCGCGCAGGUUAGCAAUAACUUGUGGCGGCGACCGGCGCAAGGGUGCGUAACGCGUGAGCAACUUGCCCGUUUCAGGGGGAUAACCGUUGGAAACGACGCCUAAUACCCCAUGGUAUCACAUUGAGGCAUCUUAAUGUGAUUAAAGAAUUUCGGAAACGGAUAGGCUCGCGUGACAUUGGCUAGACGGCGGGGUAACGGCCCACCGUGGCGACGAUGUCUAGGGGUUCUGAGAGGAAGGUCCCCCACACUGGAACUGAGACACGGUCCAG